AGUGAACGCUGGCGGUAGGCCUAACACAUGCAAGUCGAACGGCAGCACAGUAAGAGCUUGCUCUUACGGGUGGCGAGUGGCGGACGGGUGAGGAAUACAUCGGAAUCUACUUUUUCGUGGGGGAUAACGUAGGGAAACUUACGCUAAUACCGCAUACGACCUACGGGUGAAAGCAGGGGAUCUUCGGACCUUGCGCGAUUGAAUGAGCCGAUGUCGGAUUAGCUAGUUGGCGGGGUAAAGGCCCACCAAGGCGACGAUCCGUAGCUGGUCUGAGAGGAUGAUCAGCCACACAGGAACUGAGACACGGUCCAGACUCCUACGGGAGGCAGCAGUGGGGAAUAUUGGACAAUGGGCGCAAGCCUGAUCCAGCCAUACCGCGUGGGUGAAGAAGGCCUUCGGGUUGUAAAGCCAUUUUGUUGGGAAAGAAAAGCAGCAGGUUAAUACCCCGCUGUUCUGACGGUACCCAAAGAAUAAGCACCGGCUAACUUCGU
rnacentral:rRNA from 1 species